CAAAGGGAUGCUACCGGGCGACCGGAUGCGGAUCUCGAAAGCCUGUCCCAGUUCGGACUGGAGUCUGCAACCCGACUCCACGAAGUUGGAUUCGCUAGUAAUCGCGCAUCAGCCAUGGCGCGGUGAAUACGUUCCCGGGCCUUGUACACACCGCCCGUCAAGCCAUGGGAGCCGGGGGCGCCUGAAGUCCGGGACCGCGAGGACCGGCCUAGGGCGAAACUGGUAACUGGGGCUAAGUCGUAACAAGGUAAC
rnacentral:rRNA from 1 species